CAGCCGCCGCGGUAAUACGAAGGGGGCUAGCGUUGCUCGGAAUCACUGGGCGUAAAGGGCGCGUAGGCGGCCGAUCAAGUCAGAGGUGAAAGCCCAAGGCUCAACCUUGGAAUUGCCUUUGAUACUGUUCGGCUCAAGACCGGAAGAGGUUAGUGGAACUGCGAGUGUAGAGGUGAAAUUCGUAGAUAUUCGCAAGAACACCAGUGGCGAAGGCGGCUUACUGGCUCAUUCUAGACGCUGAGGUGCGAAAGCGUGGGGAGCAAACAGGAUUAGAUACCCCCGUAGUCCCUGUCUCUUAUAC
rnacentral:rRNA from 1 species